GACGAACGCUGGCAGUGUGUCUUACACAUGCAAGUCGGGCGGAUCUCUCUAAUUGCAGCAAUGCAAUUGGAGAGAUCGAGCGGCAAACGGGUGAGUAAUGGAUAGGUAAUCUACCAUAAUGACUGGGAUACCCCCUUGAAAAAGGGAUCAAUACCAGAUAAUGUCAGUUUAAAUACUUUUAAACUGAAGAAAGAUGGCCCAAAGCUAUCACAUUAUGAUGAGCCUAUCUCCUAUCAGCUUGUUGGUGAGGUAAUGGCUCACCAAGGCUAUGACGGGUAGCUGGUCUGAGAGGAUGGUCAGCCACACUGGAACUUAGAUACGGUCCAGACUCCUACGGGAGGCAGCAGUGGGGAAUAUUGGGCAAGUGGGGAAACCCUGACCCAGCGACGCCGCGUGAGGGAAGAAGGUUUUCGGAUUGUAAACCUCUGUUCUUGGUGAAGAGGGGAAGACGGUAGCCAAGGAGGAAGCCCCGGCUAACUACGUGCCAGCACG
rnacentral:rRNA from 1 species